rnacentral:lncRNA from 1 species
AGGUUGAGAAUAGCACACAUCUAUAGAUAUACACAAUAAAUACAUAGAAGGCCAUAGGUUCCUGUUGUGAAACACAAUCUAUGUGAAUCGCGAUGGAGUCAAAGCAAGUUUGAUGAGCAGAAGUUUGUUAGAAAAGUAAUCACGCGAUGGAGCCAAUCUUAUACCACCAGGCAGGUCAGGGAACAGAGAGAGCCGCCUGCAUGUGACCCUCAUAUUUAAGGUCUUGCUACAUCACUCUGACCACGCCCCAGUGUGUGUGGUCUGUGUCACCUGUGCUAGUCCCCAAGAGGGCAUGGCUAACUUUUCCCCUACAAUUCCCUAAAAUGGGAAAUUACCAAUAUGGAGCCAAGUAGAAAUAUAAGGGUAUUUAAUAGGGAAAAGCCUUACUUACAGAGUGACCUAGCCAGCCGGCGUGGCAGCAAUCUGUACAGCAAGCCAAAAAGGAAAAUGAAAGUGAAACCCAGCCACCUGAACCUCUUACUCUACAUCACCCUGGCCAUACACUCACAGGCAUGGACAGGAACACCUGUAGCCAGCCCCUAAGUAGGUGUGGCUAUAGCUUCCCCUACAAUUCCCCUUUUAGUCUAAAAGAGAAUUAAAACUUAACAGUGUAAAGUAUCCAAAAUUAACAACCAUAAAGGUGAAAUAUAAGAAGAUACAACAAUCUGCUUAUAUCACAUCCUAUCUAUUUUAACUAAAUCCUAACGUCAUCUCAAAGAGGUGUCCAAGCCUGAACACCUCCUUCCAAUCCCAACCAUAAAGAAUAGGAAGCUAUCCCUAACUAGGUAUAUACACUAUCCUAAGUGACAACAAUGGGGGGCAAGGGGGUGUAGCAUCCUCCAAGCUACUUCCUGCUGAAAUGGGAUGACGAUAGCCUUGUGAGGUCCUGUAGGAAGAAAAUGUUAGUAUAGUGAAAGCCUUGAAUGGAUUGUAUCCAGUCCAUGUUAGAUGGAAUUUGCUUGAUUGAAGAUCUCGCUUGAAAUCCUCAACUUGAUUGAAGUCAGUACCCGAAGCUUUGGCUGGAGUGUCAGUUGAAAUGGAACAAGUUGGAUCCAGUGCAGUCAAGGAGGUGUAGCCCAUUUUCUUUCCGGAGCAUCCAGGGAUUGCUGUCGGGCAGGUCUUCAUUGUUUGUGUGGGACUCAAACAUAAAUGUUAGCAGAGAAAUGUUUGCUUGAUGUAUGCAUACCGGGAAAGGCAACAAUGGGAAAUAACAAUUAUGAGAUAAAGCCAAGAAAAGACAAAUGGCAGUCCCUAAUCUUCCUCCUAUUCUGUAUUACAUCAAUUGGCUUCUUGAUACAAUACAGAAAUUCUGAAGUUUAUUUUAACAACGUGCUUGGAUUUAGAGGAGGAAAGCCAAAUCCAACUCUAAAGCCAGCAUUGGUUUAAUUGAAUAGGGACUAGGAAAUAAAGAGAAAUUGAGUUCUCUGAGAGACAGCUGUCAAGUUAACCAUAUGGCACGUUCCUUUUGUUUGAUGGUUAUAGCUACCUUCUCUUCUUAAGUAACUACCCAUGCAGUGUCCUUUGACUUCUGGAGAUGAGUUUUCCUGUGACGAUAAAAGCAAAACACUUCCCUUUCCUUUGGGAGGCUUCUAUACAGUUUAUGAGACAUACCUUGGUAUGUUACCUGUCAUUCUUCCUCAUCAAGAGUUUUUUUCUUUUUCGACACGAAUCUUGAUUAACUUUGAUGGUAUCCAAAUUUUUCCUUCUCCUUCACGUGACACAUGUCCUAGUUUCCAUACAGAGGUCAGUACAUCUUUGAAGUAUACUGGCUGAUUCAAUUAUGCAGGUUUUUUUUUCUGUACAGUGUCUUUCUACAGCUGUUUGUCCUUUCUCAUCAGAAUUAAGAAACUUUAGUGUUAAUAACACAUUAUGUAACCUAUGUUUUUGGGGGGGUUGUUCCCCCAGGCUGUUUGUGGACAUUUCUCUUAGUGUUCUAUUAGAUCUCUCUACCACUGCUUGUCCUGUAGGAUUGUGUGGAAUACCGGUUAUAUGCGUUAUGUUAAAAUAUUUGAAAAACUGCUCCAAUUUAGUAGAGACAUAUAAUUUUAGCUUCUUUGUCAAAAAUCAGGUGUUCAUAGGUGUGUGGGUUAACAUGCAGGUUUUCAAUUGAAUUCCAUUGGUCUAUCUGUCUAUUUUGUGCCCAUACCAAGCUGUUUUCAGGACUAUGGCUCUAUAAUAGAGCUUGAAGACAAGGAUGGUGAUACCUCCAGAAGUUCUUUAUUGUACAGGGUUUGUUUUGACUAUCCUGGGUUUUUUGUUUUUCCAUAUGAAAUUGAGUACUGUUCUUUCAAGGUCUGUGAAGAAUUGUGUUGGGAUUUUGAUGGGGAUUUCGUUGAAUCUGUAGAUUACUUUUGCAAGAUUGCCAUUUUAUUAUGUUAAUUCUACAUAUCUAAGAGCAUGGAAGAUCU